rnacentral:lncRNA from 1 species
AGGUGGGUUUAUCAGCAAGGAGUGAGUUUGGUCGUGAAAAGCUUCAAUAAAGAAAGAAUGAAAGAAAACCUCGACAUAUUUGAUUGGGAAUUAAGUGCCGAGGAGCUGCAAAAGAUCGAACAAAUUCCACAGUAUAGAGGAAAUCGCACUGAGGUGCACGUGUCAGAGGAUGGUCCUUAUAAAUCCUUGGAGGAUCUAUGGGAUGGAGAAAUUUAAUUAAUUUAACAAUAAAGACGCAAUUAAAUCAUUAAAUAACUUAAUUUAACGCAUAGUUUGUUCCGAGUGACACUAGUUCAUACUAUGUCUAAAUACCUGCGAAGACAAUCGUGUUGCAGUUUUUUUUUUCUUUUUUCUUUUUUUUUCCUUUCUUUCCAGGCUCUAUGUGUUAAUACCCCAUACUUGUCCUAAUCUUUUCGUUUUUAGACUUUUCACAUGAAUACGUAUUGCAUGUUUAUCAAUAUUACAUUAUAACAAAUAUUAUUUUUUAACUCUACUAUUACGCUUCCAUGGCAUAAUAAUUUAAGUAGUUUUAUUGCCACCGUUUCAACAUGCGCCGCCACUGCAGAAAACCGUUUGUGGCAAGGUGAGAAAGUUCUCAUUUAGUCAAAUUAUUUAGACCUGUUAAGUAUGAAGAUUGGGUAAUUAUAACUUAAAAAAGUUGCGAUAUUAUAGUGUUUGGUAAAAAUUAACUAUUUUAAUUUAAAAAUUAAAUAAUUUUAUCCACCACUUAUAUGAUAAAAAACUUAUAAUAUUUUUAUUACUUUUGUUAAAAUAACAUUCAAAAUUAUAAUAUUUUUUUUCCUACAAUAGCUGUAACUUAAAAGUUAUAACAUCUCAAUAUAAAAUAUGACUUUAAUUUUACCUUCUGAUAUUCUGAUUGAAGUUCUCAAUUUAUGUUGUGGUUGAAAAAAUUAUGUGCGCUGAUCUGAAUCUCAUAAUGUAAAUUUGCUAACGCAAGAUUUGUUCUCUGUUAGGCAAAACAUUCUUAGGCAGUUUUGACAUUCUAAAUCUCGCAUUUUGAGCAUGAAAAUAAAUUAUCUGAGCAUACGUAAAUAAGACAAAUAAAAAUUAUAAUUGUCUCCUAAUUUUUUUAGCUUCCUAACCUUAAAAGACUAGUCACUUUGGUCAAUAACACAUAUACAAUAUAUUGUUAAAGUAAGAGUAAUUCUUUUUACAUCUGUUUAAAAUCCUUAUAUAAUUCCGUUUUUAGUUCUAUUACUAUUAGAAGUUACAUUAACGGACAAUAUGAAUUUAAAAAAAAAUAAAAUCUUUACCCCUACAGAUUAUGAAUCCUCCCAUCUUCAAAUCCCAAUUUAUGAUAUAAUUAUUUUUGUUUACAAAUUCAAAAUAGAUUUGAGAUAAUGAAGAAAUAAAAUUACCUAGUGAUAAGAUUUUUAUUUUAAAAAAUUAUAUUUAAAAUUUGAUUUACUCCAUUAUAAUGUUUAAUCGUUUUUCUAAAUUUUUUUACAAUAGUAGGUGCAAAUAAAUGGUUUCGCAACAGUAUAAAAGGGUUUUGAUUGCAAUUAAGAUCCGAAGCCGAAAAAGGCCCAAAAUGCAAGCCCAUUAUCAUCAGGAGCUCUCGAUAAAUGAAGUUCUCAAAGGUUUCCAAAAGCCCAAUGGCAAGGUCAUGUGCAAAAGGCUCCCAUUUAAGUCCCUUGCCCGAAGAGAAACACUCGACGGUUCUCAAAAUGGAAGGCUGGUUUGUGGCAUCUGUUUAAGCUGUCUCACAGCAGGAACCGUGAAGCCAAUUUGCAGACGUCAAAAGGGGGGUUUAUCAUUAAAAUUAUAGUAUGUCAACUCGGAAGUGAUGCUGAAUUUAGAAGUAUUUCAUAAAUUUUGAGUCUCAUAUGCAAUCCGACACAAAUUAAAUCACUUUAAACCUAAAGAAGAGAGUAAAUAAUUAAAGUAUUGUAAAGGGUAAGCGAAAAUAAAUAUCUUACGUGGUUAGAUAAUAUUGAUAUAUAUUCACAACUCUGAAAGGUAAAAAAAAUUGUGUAGCUGAGAUGGUGUUCCCCACACUCUAUAGAUAGGAUGCACAAAAUCUUUUAUGUUAAAUAAUAUAAUUUCAUUUAAUUAAUUUGCGGGUUUCAAUACUGAGGUGGUGUAUUCAUCUCAUAUAAGUUUUCUCUCCUUUGAAAGAAAACAAAUUAUAAACUUAAUUUUUUUUCAUUAACAAAAACCAAGAAUUAAAACUUACCUCCAAAUUUUCUCUCAACAAUAUCCAAUUCAAACGAUACAAUUUGAUCUCAUGUGUUGCUCAUGGCAGAACCAAGAAGAAGAUUUUCUUUUUCUUUUCUUUUCUCUCCAUCUCUCUCUCUCUCUCUCUCUCUCUCUCUCUCUCUCUCUCUCUCUCUCUCUCUCUCUCUCUCUCUCUCUCUCUUCCUUUAUGUUGUUUUUUUUUCCUCAGCCAAUCUCUCUCUCCCUCUCUUUCUUAUAAUGGAAAAGACCACAAACUCUUGUACAAACUUAUUUUGUACAAACUGACAUUGUAUUAAUUCAUUGGUUGAAUAAAAAUAUAAAAUAAUAAAAACAAAUCAUGUGGGACAUGUGAUAUUUAAUUCAAUCAAUCUUAUCAUGCCACAUCAGUUUGUACAAAAUAAGUUUAUAUAAGAGUUUGUAGCUAUAUCAUUGCUCUUAUUCUUUUUAUACUGGAGAAAAAAAUCACUAAAAAAACUUAAACACUCUUAGGAGAAUUAGAAUAUUACAUUAUGCACUUAAUUAGUCAUUAUUGAUUGGCUCCUUUUGAUUUCCUUAACUAUAUUACUCCCCAUUAAAACUAUGUUUUGGCAAAAGAAGCAGAGCAUCUAUAUACAUGAACGCUAACAAAUUUGAGAGAUAAAUCUCCAUAUUAAAUCACAAAUUAAAAUUAGGUUCAUGUUUGACAUAAAAUAGAAAAAUAGUUGAGAACUUCUAUUUCUAGUAAAAGGAGGGAGCAAAAAGAAAGAAAUUUUGGGAACAUUACUUAUAAUGCCUGUGGGUCUAUAGCGCCUCCUUCAACAAAUUUUGUGAACAUAAGAUAAGAGCACAAAUAAUGGCAUUGAUCUAUUGGGUGCUACCUCUUGGGUUGAAACAAAAGAUUUGGAAUUGGAAUCUUGCUCCCAUCCAUGAUGAGAAAUUGAGUUAUCAUAAUGUAAAUUUGUUUUUUUAAAAAAAGACAGUAAUUAUGGAGAUUUUAGUCUCUUCAUUUUACAAGAAACACAAGUAAUGAUAAUUAAGGUAAACCCUUUAAUUUAAGAUCUCAACCUAUUAAUAAAUCCAACCUCAAAUCUAGGAAGAGAAAAAUGAAGUUGAAAUCUUUUAAUGAUUGCUCUAAAGUUUGAAUUAGUAUCAACAUCACUCCUAAGAUUUUGCAUAAGUAGAGUUCAGGUGACAUUCAUUGGUAGGAAGUAUCAUUUUAAAAAAAAAAUUAUGUUGAAUAAAAUCAACUUUAAAAAUUCACAGUUGCUGUAAAUAUAGAUAGAUGAUACAGGAAGUAUAAAGAGGACAAUGCAGAAGAAGCAUUGUGUUAAUGUAUGAGAGAAUUAUUCCAUUCAAACUUUUGGUACAAACAUUACCAAGUUUAGCCCUCGUACUUAUAGUGCUAUUUGUCCAACCAUAAAUGGUAAAAGUUUCAGAACACAUGGCAUAAUUACAAAACUCACAUUAUCUCCACGUGUGGGCAUUCUUUACCACAAAAAUUUUCAUACAUAAAGGGCAUGUUUGGUUAUAAUAUUAAGGGGUAUUAAAAUACUAUUUACAUUAGCUUAAUACUAAUAUCAUGAUUGAUAAAAUUUUAUAAUGGAUUAAGAGGUAUGCUAGUGGGGCAAACUGCCGCAUUAGCUUUUGUGCUUUUGCAUUUGCUGCUUCUUCUUUUUUUUUUUUUUUACUUUUGCUUUUGCUUUUUUUAAUAAUAAUAAAAAAUAAUAUAACUUUUUAAUAUAAUAUAAAUUUUUAUUUUCUUUUAUUUUUAUAUCAUAAUUAUUAAUAUAAAUUUUUUUUUUAUUAUUCAUAUUUUAUUUUUAUUAUAUUAAAAAUAUUACUAAAUAAUGUAUUAUUUAAUUAUAUAAUAAUUAAUAUAUGAAAUUAAUUAAUAAGUACUUAAAUAAUAUAUAUAAAUAAGAAUAUAACUUGAUAUUACAUUAUUUAAUUAUAUUAUAGUAAUUAAUAUAUAAAAAUUUAAUAUAACUAAUCAAAAUAUUUAUAUAUGAAUAAAUUUAAAUAAUAUUAAUUUAAAAUAAAUGUUAUGUUGUCGAUUAUAAGGCUAUAAGCUUCAAUUUUUAUGGAAAAAUUAUUUUUUUAAUAUUUAUACUAAAAAAUAAUGUUAAAUUUCUAAAAUUUAAGACUUUUAUAUUUUAUAUUUUUCUAGGUACUAAUAAAUAUUAUUUUCUAAAUAUAUAAUUUAAGUUAAUCAAAAAAUAAUAAUACAAUACAGUGUAGCACCAAAUAUUAUACAACAUUAUUAUAAUACAGUGUUAAUGCAAUAUAACAUAAUAUAAUACACUAACAUUAAAAUAAUAUAAUACAAUAUAAUAUAAUAUAAUGUGUCAAACACAUCCAAAAAACUUAGUGUCGCGGACGGAAAGCUAACGAUCCCUUGCGGUACUCCCGCAUCCCGAGAGUAAGCCUAAAAUAAUUGAGCAUCACGAUUGCGAUCCGUGAUAUUAGUCUUCCAACAAAUAGCAGUAAUGCAGUAUGCGUAGCUUAUUUGCUAAGGUAAUAAGGUAUCUAUCAGACCUAUUUGCAUCAGAAUAGACUUACACUAGCUGGAAAUAUCAAACACUUGUUCAAUGCAAAUCUUACUUAACUAACCAAAUCGGCCAAUCACAAUGGUGGAUAGCCACUAAUAUCACAACAAUAACGAGUCCCAUAAAUUUUUACUAGAUAAUGAAAUAAAUAAUAAAAAAAAAAGUUAUGACCUCACAGAUUACGAGAUAACCAGUGAAAUUUUUUUAAAAAAAUACAAUAAAGACGAGCUCCAAGAUCGGACAAAAAAAAAAAAAAAGAGUAGCUGUUGCCGAUUUCGGUCAAUAAUAUUGGAGAAGAUUUCCCUUCAUCAUUUGUUUUAUCUUAUUUUCCUACCUACUACGUUGUCAGUAAAUAUACAAAAAUAACAGCCGCGUCAUGUGAUUUAUUUAUUUAUUUUUAAAAAUUUUGUGUCAUGUAUUUUUUAAUAUUUAAUAUAUAAUUAAUAUUUUUAUUAUUUUUAUUUUUUAACUUAUUAAUGACGAAUAACUUUUACUCAAAAUUAAUUUAAUUUGACCAUGACUCAGCCUCGUAAUCUUCUUUUUUUAUUGUGAGAAGCUCAUGAACAGUAAUGUGGCAAAGUGGCGGAAGUGUAGAGCUUGUUUUCUAAUUUAUACAGAGCCCUUUUUUUUUUGUGGGGGUAACACAUAGAUAUAUAUCAAACAAGGCCUGUGAGCAGUGAAUUUUACAAUAGACUCACUAUCAAUAUUAUUAAAUUUAUUGUUUCCUAUAUUAACAAUCAAACUAUCAUUUAUCCCAUUCGAUUCCAAAGAUGAUUAUUUAUGAGUUUCAUUAAUGAAAACGUUCGUUCUAGUAUUAUUAUAGAGAUUGGAAGAAUUAAUCAUAUUUUUGAGAAUAGAAAAUAUUUUAAGUGUUGGACUAUUAUUAUUUUUAAUUAAAAUAUAAGUUUUUAUAAUUCUUAAAAGUUAAAUUUCAAAUUUUAUAGGGGCUUAUAAUUUAUAGUGAUUAUUUUAAUAAAUUUUUUAUGGGGACUAAUUAGAAAAUUAAAAUAUUUUUCUUUUUUAAUUUAAAAUUUUUUUUGGCCAGUGGGGAGCUCAAGCCCCCACUGGUCGCAUGCUACAUCCGCCCAUGCUUGUGAGGUUGAUCCAUUUGAGAGAGAGAACAUGCAGAAAAGAGUAAAAGGAGAAAAAGAAAAACUAAUUUUUUAAUUAAUGAGUAUUUUGAAAGUUUCAACCCAUUUUUUCUUUAAUUAAAAAUUAAUUGUUGAAAAUAAAAAAAUAAAAUUUUUAUUGCCCACCGCCUCUUAGGGAUAGCAAAAUCCUCCACGGGUUUGGGGCCCCAUGGAGCCCCACCCCAAAUGGAAAAAAUUUUGAAUAAUUUUUGGGGAAUGGGGUGGGGAGUGGGGGAAAAAUAAUCCUCAAAUUCUUAAUGGGGUAGGGUUUGGUUUUGUACUCCCCACCCCAACCCCACCCCAAUCCUCAUUAUAUAUAAAUAUGUUUUUAAUUCUUGUUUAAUAAUUUUUAUUUUAUCAAUUAUAAUGUCAAUUAAUUUUUUUUAAAUUUUUAUGCAAUAUAAACAAGAUACGAAUGAAAGAAAAUCUUAUAAUAUUUUUCAACUCUGAAACAUUGUUAUAUUUUCUUUUCUCUUUUAAGGUGAUACGCUCUUUAAAUAUUUUUCACUUUUAAUAUCAUUUUAAGAUAUUGCUUCAAACUUUUAGAUUUUUUUAAAAGAAUUUAAAUACUUUAUAAUAUGAUGAUGAUUUUAUUUUAAGUCUCUAAUUUUUAACUUACUAAAAUAAUAUAUUUAUACAUAUUAUAAAAUAGAUAAAUGAGGAAUGGGGUGGGGAUGGGGAAAUCAUUCCCCACAUGGGGAUUCUCCAUCCCCACCCCACUAAAUUUACUGGGGAAUGGGGUGGGGAAUAGAUGCAAAAAUUUCUAACGGGGUGGGAAAUGGGGUAGGCCUCCCCACCCCCACCCCACCCCAUUGUCACCCCUCUGAAGACGAGUUGAAAAUAACAGUUUUACUGCAUUUUUAUAAAUAAUACAUUUUAAAAUGCCAAACACACUGCUCAUUUAUUUGAAUGUCAAAAAAGGGGAUCAUUAUUCACCCAAAAAAAAAAACACUACACCAACUAUGUAUAAUAUUUCAAAUUCGAAACAAAAGUUUUUUCAGUAUUCAUGAAAAUAAUUUCAAAAGAAGUGAAAUUAUCAUUGCACCAUUUUUUUUAUCUUAUGUUCAUCCAAUUACUACAAAAUUCUAAAAAAAUUUCUGCACCAAUUUUUUUUUUAAAAUAUAUAUCAAUUAGUCACUUUUGCACUAACACAGUUAAAUAAUUUAAAUGAAAUAAUAAUUUUACCCCUAAAUAAAUUAAAAGACUAUUUUAUCUUAUACAAACUUUGAAAAAUAAAAAAAUUAUAAUUAAAAAAAUACCCCUAAAUUUAAAAAAAUAAAUCCAAAAUAGAGGUGCUCAGUUGAUUUUUAUUAAAUUUAGAUUUUGUAAAAUUUUAAUAAUUAUUUUUAUUAAAAAUUAUAAUUUUUCAAAAUUUUAAUAAAAAUAACUGAAUUUAUUUAUUAAAAAAUUAUAAUUUUGUAAAAUUUUAUUAAAAUAACUGAAGUUAUUUCUUAAAAGAAUAAAUCCUAAAAUUUUAAUAAUUUAGGGGAUUUUUAGUAAAUCCCAAAAUUUUACAAUUAUUUUUAUAAUUAUAAUUUUAUCUGCUGUACCGUACAUCCGCCUUGGCCGUACUACUUUAUAAUAUGAUGAUGAUUUUAUUUUAAGUCUCUAAUUUUUAACUUACUAAAAUAAUAUAUUUAUACAUAUUAUAAAAUAGAUAAAUGAGGAAUGGGGUGGGGAUGGGGAAAUCAUUCCCCACAUGGGGAUUCUCCAUCCCCACCCCACUAAAUUUACUGGGGAAUGGGGUGGGGAAUAGAUGCAAAAAUUUCUAACGGGGUGGGAAAUGGGGUAGGCCUCCCCACCCCCACCCCACCCCAUUGUCACCCCUCUGAAGACGAGUUGAAAAUAACAGUUUUACUGCAUUUUUAUAAAUAAUACAUUUUAAAAUGCCAAACACACUGCUCAUUUAUUUGAAUGUCAAAAAAGGGGAUCAUUAUUCACCCAAAAAAAAAAACACUACACCAACUAUGUAUAAUAUUUCAAAUUCGAAACAAAAGUUUUUUCAGUAUUCAUGAAAAUAAUUUCAAAAGAAGUGAAAUUAUCAUUGCACCAUUUUUUUUAUCUUAUGUUCAUCCAAUUACUACAAAAUUCUAAAAAAAUUUCUGCACCAAUUUUUUUUUUAAAAUAUAUAUCAAUUAGUCACUUUUGCACUAACACAGUUAAAUAAUUUAAAUGAAAUAAUAAUUUUACCCCUAAAUAAAUUAAAAGACUAUUUUAUCUUAUACAAACUUUGAAAAAUAAAAAAAUUAUAAUUAAAAAAAUACCCCUAAAUUUAAAAAAAUAAAUCCAAAAUAGAGGCUGUACGGCCAAGGCGGAUGUACGGUACAGCAGUUUUUAAANNNNNNNNNNNNNNNNNNNNNNNNNNNNNNNNNNNNNNNNNNNNNNNNNNNNNNNNNNNNNNNNNNNNNNNNNNNNNNNNNNNNNNNNNNNNNNNNNNNNNNNNNNNNNNNNNNNNNNNNNNNNNNNNNNNNNNNNNNNNNNNNNNNNNNNNNNNNNCCGUACAGCAGCAAAAUUUUAUUUAUUUAGGAGAUUUUUAUUAAAUCUCAAAAUUUAGUAAUUAUUUUCAUAAUUAUAAUUUUUUAUUAAAAUAAGUUUUAUUAAGAGUAAAAAAUCUAAUUUUUGGAUUUAUUUCUUUAUUAAAUGUAGGGGUAUUUUUAGAAUUAUAAUUUUUUUAUUUUCAAAGCUUUUACAAGAUAAAGUAAUCUUUUAAUUUAUUUAGGGAUAAAAUUAUUAUUUUGUUUAAAUGUUGUGUUGAGAACAUGUUAGAAUUUUAUGAUAGUUGGAUGAACAUAAGGUAGAAGAAAGGUGGUGCAAUGAUAAUUUUUCAAAAAUAAAAUGCAAACAAUGCCGGACGAAACCUUAUUGCCUCGAAGACAAGGUCUUUAUUAUAGUAUAUUUUAAUGAAUCAAACUACCAAGUUUCAUGUGCCAAAGAUUUACUGUGAUAUUCUUAUUAAAGAUUCUUUUCUAAGUUCUAAUAUCAAACCUUGUAUCUGCGUUGCACACAAGUUUCUGUAUUCAAUCGGAUAGGAAUCUCUGCACACGGAGUAUUUUUCAUUUUUCGUACUCGUGAUAUUUGUUAAUCCAGACAUAUUUUCUUGGUUUUCAUUUUCUUGAUCAAUUAUAAGAUUUUGUUUAGGAUCCGACUAUAAUGGAGAUGCUCCACCAUAUAAUACGAGCAAAAUUAUAAUAUAUAUUUUAUUAUUUAUCAAUUUAAUCAUAUAGUUAUGUAGGAGUGUUCAACAGCAUAGCAUCUCCAACAUAAUUAUUACCUUUUGUUUAAUAUGCAUUGAUUUGAACAAGUUUUCUAGGGAUGGCAAUGGGGGCAGAUAUAGGUUGGAUCUACUCUGCUUCAGAUCUAAAUCCAUAAAAAAAUUAAGAUCCGUAUCUACUACAAAUCUGUCAUGAAUCCAUAUUUUUUGCUCUAUAUCCGGAUUCAAAAAGAAAUAAAUAUCUAUAUCUGCUCCAAAUAAAAAAAAAAAUCCAAAUCUGCUCUAGAUCCGUCAUGAAUUCUAAAACUCAGCAAUAAAAAAGUAAUAAUUUUUUAGAAUGAAAAUUGAAGGCCAAAAUGUAUUGAUAACAAAUAAGUUAUAUAAUUUUUCUAAAAAAUAUAAUAAAUAUUGUAGCUUAUACUUUUACACCAUAACAACAAAUAAGAAAGAUAAUAAAAUAUCCUUCAAAAGUAAUUGUAGGAGUAAGAUCAAUAUAAUAUUUUAUUAUCUCCUUCAUUAUUCUAAUAUCCAUGACACACCCACCCUUAUUCCUACAACAUUAGAUAAUGACAUAUAAAUUAAAUAUGAUUUAUAUUCAAUACUUUAUUAUUUUUAUUAUGGCCAUAUUUGACUAAAUAUAUGAAUAACUAUAUUCCUUAAAAAUUAUUUGGCUAAUAAAGUAAAAUAAAUUGACAGGUUAUAUGCCAUAUUUGACUAAAUAUAUGCGUUUUAAGAGUUUAAAUGCGUGAUAAAUACCACUAAUAUGUUAUGAAUAAAAUUUAUUAUAUUAUAAUUCCACAAUUGUUAAGAAACUUUUAAAAUAAAAUAAAAUUAAAAGAUGGGCGGAUAUGGAUAUGAAUUUGGAUAUUAAAAUAGAUCUAGACUUGCUUCAGAUCCGUCUUAAAUCCAAAUAUCGAUAUCUAAAUCCGAUUCAAAUUCAUUUUAAACCGACGCAAAUAUGAUCCGAUUGAAUUUAAAUCAUGUGAAUGUUAGAUCAGAUCCAAUCUAUUGUCAUCCCUAAGGUUUUUUAACUUUUCCAGGGAUUUCAAUAAGAGUAGUUAGUGAUUUCCUCUUUUUCUAGUAAUUAAUUUGGCGUUAUUUCAUGCGGCUUUGAUUUGAAUUUAGUUGUGACUUGUGAAGUACCAAUUUCGAUUCAUUUUUUGUUGCUUUCCUUGUGUAAAUCCAAGUCAAUACGCGGUUGCAAUUUUGUCUUUUGCAUUCAAUUUGGCCUAUUAACAAUGCCUUAGAUUUGACCUAGAUUUGAUCCUUUUCGUCUCAAACGAAUUAUUUAUUAUUUUUUGUCUAUUAAAAGAUGUGUUCAAAAUUGAUUUUUACAUUUUAAUAUUUUAACAUAACAACUGCAAAAAGAAAAAACGACAAAUAGAAGAAGAUGAAGUAGACGAAGACAAAGAAGAAGAUUAAAGGACAGAAGAAGAAGGAGAAGACUACAAAAAAUACUUUCUAUUUUAAAUAAAAAGUAAUACAAUAUACUAAAAGUAUUGAUUUCCUGGAUUUGCUAACUCACAUCUCAUGUAACUAAGAAUGCCUCUAAAACAUGCAAAAAGUCAUAACAUUCAAGGGGGAUCCACUUGAACUUUGCAAGAGCUGUAAGUUACAUGAAGGACUCAUUGUUUAAUUAGCUAUUGUUUAAGAGAUUAGAAAUAAAUUUUUUAGGGUUUAUGGAAAGAGAAUUAUAUAUUAAAUAACAAGUGUGUUAUAUGAAUGUUCAGAAUCUUUAUAUGUUAGUUUAUAAGAGAGAGUACAUAUUAAUAAUUCAUAUGAUGAGCAUUUUUGUAAUAAAAUAAUUUAUUAAAAUAAGAGGUACUCAGAAUAUUUUUAAAGUACAAAUAAAUUCACUCAAACAUAAUUUAGUUUUUUUUUUCCUUCUGAAACUCACUCUUCAGUUUUUAUCACUGCCAUAACUAAAUGCAAUUUCAAGAACCUAAAGAAUAUAGUCCUAAUGAUACAAAUGAAAUUUCAAAUAAUAUCAUAAUCAUUUCUUAAUCUGAGCUAUUAUGAACUUGUAAAAAUCAUGAGCCAUCUAUCUUUUAGCGUUAAUGUAUAAUUAAGAUUUAGGCCCAAUUUGAUAAUUUUGUAAUUUUUUUAAAUAAUUGUUAUUAAUUAUGUUAUAGAAAUAAUCAACUAUAGAAAGAAUCAGUUAAACAUUUAGUAAAAUUUACUUUUAAAAAUGUUGUGAGUUUUAAAAGCAGUCAUAUGUUUUUGUAAAUUUUACUAUUAAAUUAUUAUAAGAAUGUAAAUGACUAAAUUAAAUAUAAUAUUGAAUAAAUUUUAUUUAUGCAUUUAUAAAUAUGUUUAUAAAUUAUUUUAUUAUUGUGUAUAUAUUAUAAUUAAUAACCAAAAUAAAUAGUUUAUGUUAUUAGUUUUAUUUAUUAUUUUGUUAUCUCAAUAUAAUUGAUGAUGAUGAUAAUAAUAAUCUCAUUAAAGUUAGUGAUUUUAUUUCUAAACCAAUAAGAAUAAUUUUGAAUUUUUAUGAUACAUAUGACAAUAUAUAUACAAUUGUUUUAAGUAUAAAACUGAUUUUUAGAAUCAAUAUUAAAAGCUACGACUUCCCGAUUAUUCAAAAUUUGUUUUAGGAUGAGGUGAUCUUGGUAAAAGUGAUUUUUAAAAUUUUUAUCAGAUACUAAAAUUAAUUUUUAUUUAUUAAAAAUUACUUAUGAGCUUUCCUAAAAUAAUUCUAAAAAAACCCUUAAUCACUUUUAUUUUUUAAUUUAUUAACUACUCGUCAUAAAAAUAAAUUUACUCAAACACACACACACACACACACAUAUAUAGCUACAAACUCUUUUAUAAUUUUUUUUUACAAACUUACAUGACAUGUUUUAAUUAUUUAGAUUAAAUAUCUCUUGAUUCGUAUGAUUUAUUUAUUAUUUUAUAUUUUUAUUCAAUUAAUGAAUUAAUAUCAAAUUAAUUUGUACAAAAUAAAUUUAUUUAAGAGUUUGUAGUUAUAAGAUCGGUCAAUGUGUUUAUAUAUAAGUGGGCACUGCAGCCUCGUAUGCCAUGUGCACUUUGAUUCCUCUUCUUUGAAAAAUGAAAAUGAAAAAAGAGGUAAGCAUCCCAGAGGCUCCUUUGGGCUCCACCGGCAAAACCAUACCUCUUGUUGGUUUCGGCACGGCCCAAUUUCCUUUCGGAGCAGCCACUGAAGUAGUAAAAGAAUCUGUUGUGCAUGCAAUAGAAGUCGGCUACAGACACUUCGACACCGCCGCAAUAUACCAGUCCGAGCAGCCUCUUGGGGAAGCAAUAGCCGAAGCGUUGCGUCUUGGGCUCAUCAAAUCACGCAAUGAGCUCUUUAUCACUUCAAAGCUUUGGCUCGGCCACGCACACCGUCAACUUGUCCUCCCUGCGCUACAAACUUCUCUCAAGUAACUAAAUUAAAUUAAUUACAAGCUAGCUUAUUGCCAUUGCCUAGCUGCAGGCAAGUAUCAUCUAUGGUUUAAGGUUGACUGAUUGGUUGCUGACGUUAUUGAUAAUUUAUUUUUGCAGGAAUCUGGGAUUGGAGUAUAUUGAUUUGUAUCUGAUUCAUUUUCCGGGAAGCUUGAAGCCUGGAACAGGGUUCCCAUUCAAUAAAGAAGAUAUUGUGCCACUUGAUUAUGAGGCUGUUUGGGAGGCCAUGGAGGAGUGUCAAAAUCUCGGCCUCACUAAAUCCAUUGGAGUCAGCAACUUUGCUUGCAAGAAACUUGAGAGGUUACUUGCUACAGCCAAAAUCCCUCCUGCUGUCAAUCAAGUGAGUCCAGUAAUAUUGAUUAAUUAUAUGUAUUUCAAAUUUAAUUAAAAUAGAAUUGUUUAAUUAUGUUUUAAAAUGGAAGUUGAAUUCCCUCCGGCUGUCAAUCACGUGGGGCGGUGUCACUAUGUUGCCAUGUUCAGCCAUAUAUUAACACUUGGAAGGAGAAAUACAUAAUAUUAAGGUUGGCAUUAAGUUACGUUGAGUGUAAUUUGCGCCUCUCACAGCAACAGUAUCCGGUCUCAUUAUUGGUACUGUUGUUGUGAGAGGCCCAUAAGUUACACUCAACGUAACUUAGGACCUCCCUAAUAUUAACGUUGAAAUCAAACUGUACGGUAUAAAAUAUUUCUCCUAUGGCAGCUGAUUUAAGUUAAAAAUAUUAAUCAUGAUUAUUUGGGUAGGUCGAGUUGAACCCAGUUUGGCAACAAAAGAAGCUGAGAGUUUUCUGCGAGAAGAAAGGAAUUCAUAUUACUGCCUACUCGCCAUUAGGAGCCAAAGGAACAAGAUGGGGAACCAAUCGAGUCAUGGAAUGUCAGGUGCUGAAAGAGAUUGCAAACGCUAGAGGAAAGUCUGUUGCUCAGGUAAUUUUUUCUUUUUUUCAAAUUUUUAUUCGAGUUUGACAAACAUAAUUUGGUUGUAAAUGCUCACUACGUGGCACAAGAUCGAAGUGGCAUCUUUUAUGUUGAUCUUAUUGGGAAAAAUCAGGUUUUUAAAUUUUUAUAAAACCUUUUGAGGACCGCUCUCAUAUAAUAUAUAGGAAUACGUAAUCCAGAAAUCGUACCUUGAAAAUCUGAGUUGGGUUUUUCCGCUGAAGUGAUUUAGGCUCCUAGAUCACGAUCCGCCACCACCACUCCUGUUAAAUCACGAUCCGUCAAGAUCUGUAUCAAGUGGCUUCUUUUUUUUUCUUUAGAGAAAAAUAAACCUUAUAUAUUUCCCUUUAGUGAAAACCCUAGGCUCCAAAUAAUGCCCUAAAUAAAACUCACGUUUAUUUACUUUUUCAAUAGGGGACCUACCUUGUAAAAUAACAUAAGGCCCCUUAUACAAAAGCUAAUUAAAUGGAGCCUCCCACUAAAUGAUAUAUUUAGGCUUUUGACCCAAAUCGCUAGUUAUCUUACUUAUUAGUCCAGUAGUGGUGCAGUCAAUUAAAUGAGCUAACCCGGGGAUCAUUUGGGAACAUACAAUAGUGGCUACAAUAAUUAGGCCUGUAAUUAAACUAGCCCAAUUAUUUAAUUCCAAAUCUACUCCACUAAAAGAUUGGAACUGACUUCCAUAAUUGUAUGCUCGAAUAAUAAUUCGUCCCAAGCCACAUUGAUUUCUUUACUGCACAAUCCUUUGUACCACAUCGUUAAUUAAAUUGAUAUCUCAACUGUCCAAUCAAUUUAAUAACAUCUUAUUCCUGCUGUACGGCCAAGGCGGAUGUACGGUACAGCAGAUGCAACUAAUAGAGAAAAAGGUAGAUUUCACUAUAUUAAUAGAUAAAAAAUCAUAACCUCUAAUGUAUUAAAAUUUAUAAUUUUUUAUAUUGUAAUGAUAUUGUCACCAGAGAAUGAGUAGAUUUGUAAUUUAGAAUUUUGGAUUAUAUUUAUAAUAUGAGAGAGUCGGAUAGUUUAUAUUUUAGUUAAAUAAUUAAUUUCGACAUAUGGUCCCAUACGGUAGAGAUUUUGUAAUAUUUAAAAAUUAAAAAAUAUAUAUCUUAAAGCUGUGCAAUCGGAUGUAUAUUUAAAAUUAAAAAUUAAAAUAGUUCCUUCUAGAUUACGCAAAUAAUUCCGAAAACAGCUCUCCAAUGUACUUUCGAUUCCAUAUUUUUUUUUCCUUGUGAUCAAAUCGGAUGUAUCGAACCGACGUCGCACCUGAAAUGAAAAUAUCGUCAUUGCAUUUAUUUGGAAAUUUAUUUGCAUUUGCCAAUUAGAGAAAAAGUCAUCUUGCGGAAGACUUUUUGACUAAAAACGAUGCGUGCCCAGGCCAGCUAAGACAUUAAUCAUCCCUUUCAUUUGACUAUAAGGUUUGUUUUGGUGCGCUUGAAGGUUUCUUUGAGGUGGGUUUAUCAGCAAGGAGUGAGUUUGGUCGUGAAAAGCUUCAAUAAAGAAAGAAUGAAAGAAAACCUCGACAUAUUUGAUUGGGAAUUAAGUGCCGAGGAGCUGCAAAAGAUCGAACAAAUUCCACAGUAUAGAGGAAGUCGCGCUGAGGUGCACGUGUCAGAGGAUGGUCCUUAUAAAUCCUUGGAGGAUCUAUGGGAUGGAGAAAUUUAAU